CAGCAGCCGCGGUAAUACGUAGGGUGCAAGCGUUAAUCGGAAUUACUGGGCGUAAAGCGUGCGCAGGCGGUGAUGUAAGACAGUGGUGAAAUCCCCGGGCUCAACCUGGGAACCGCAUCUGUGACUGCAUCGCUGGAGUGCGGCAGAGGGAGAUGGAAUUCCGCGUGUAGCAGUGAAAUGCGUAGAUAUGCGGAGGAACACCGAUGGCGAAGGCAAUCCCCUGGGCCUGCACUGACGCUGAGGCACGAAAGCGUGGGGAGCAAACAGGAUUAGAUACCCCGGUAGUCCCUGUCUCUUAUAC
rnacentral:rRNA from 1 species